ensembl:lncRNA
CUACUUUGCCUUUUGUUAGGAGAGCAUCUAGCCUCAUUCAAUGGAUUUAUGCAGCUUAAAGAAGAACAGCAUUUGUCCCUGAGAGACUGAACUGUGCAAAGCCCUUCUUGUGAGUGGCAGUGAGCCACAGGCAAAGUGCUGAAAGAAGGAGAGGGUCUGGCAUAUUCACAGCUGCAGCAGAAGACAAGUAGAGGUGCCAGUGGCAUCCCACUCAGGGUCACUGUCCUGAAAGAUGGCUCUGUACCCAGCAAGAGCUACCAUUUGGGGUAUGUUUUGAAUUUUGUACUACUUGAUUAUUUUAACGGAAAACAAAGGAAAUGAUUUAAUCCUAAGAAAAAUGUAGCCAUUAUAGCGAAAGUGUUCCUCCCAUUAUACCAAAUUCAUCUUUGUUUUCACUCAUCACUAUUUCUCUUAUUCUGGCAAGGGCUAGGUGACCACACCUGAGGCCUUGUAAUCUCAAAUCUUGCUGAAAAUACCAUGGUUGCUAAUCCUGACUUGACUGUUGGUGCCAGCAAUAAAACCACAGUCUCUAGUGUGUAGCAGACUCCAUAUGUUAGCCCCCUAGUCUGCUAAGUCACCACGCCAGCCUAAAUUUGAAACAUUUCUAAAGUGUUAUACAAUGUUGUAAUAAUGUUUUUACAAAACAAAGGCUGAGUUACUGGAAGCCAUAUUCAUCCAAUCAGCAUCUUAUUGAAAGAGGAAUCUUGAUGGUAGUAGUGGUGACACAGGCUAUAAAAAAUAAUUUUAAAAAUUGCACUAGAAUCUUUAAAAGGGGAGCAUAGUCUUAUUAGGGAGUACAGCUUGGAAGAACUGUUGAAGACAAAAAGAAAGAAAAUCUUGGUUGCUUGAUAUCUCACUUUCCUGAGGAAAAGCGUACCCAAAAAAAACUCAAGCCAAGAACAGUGUUGACUUAAUUAAAAGAUUCGUAGUGGCUGAAGUUUUGCUUAGAGAAACAAGAAUGGACACUGCUAAUUUCUUACUGAGCAGUGUCUGCCUAAAUAGAAUGCUUCUACAUAAGUAGAACUUUCUCAAAAUACUAUCACUGCUGUAUAUUGAGGGAUUCUUCCCACAGCAAAAAAAGCAGAACAACUACAGAUUAAUUCUGCAUCCCAAAUUUAGGCCUACAUCAUCAAAGAUAAUCAAAGUUGGAUGGACCUGUAUUGUUUUUAGGCUUCUGUAAAAUUCUAAUCCUACAAGAACUUAAGCAAAUUUUUAACAGAUAGCAUAGUUGUCUGUAGUGAUGAUACUUACAAGUAAAGAUGAUGGAAGAGAAAGAAUUAGUGUAUUAUAUAAAUCUAUAUCCAUCACAAUUUUUUUUUUAAAUUUACUAGACGUCACAGUGUCAUCCAUGAGAUGAAACUCACCACAAUAAGUACCAAGAAGCUAAUUAGAGCUUACGUAUAUUUCAAAAAAGCUUUAUGUAUAUAGUAUUAUCUAAAUAUUUAUAUGAAUAAUAAAAAAACAAAUAUUGACCAUGCUUGUGAUCCUUUUGCUCUUUUUCCCUCUGUUUUACUCAAAGAAUAGCAAUUAUGUUCAAUAAUCACUGUGCAUGUUUACAGAAAUUAGUUUUCCAGAGGCUUUCUCAAAUGUUUCUAGAAUCCAUUUAUCAAUAUUUGGUUUCCUGAAAUAUUUUCAGCAGAAGUUUGAUUUUUGUUACUGACUUGCAUUAGAAAUCUGAUUAUUUAAGAGAGCCCAGGGCAUCAUUUUGUGGGGCAUUAUACAGAGAUUGACUAGAACACAGUUCUUGAUCUGAAAGGAUUACAGUUUUAACUGUCAGGGCAGACAAAGAACAAAUAAGCAUUGUGUAAGCUAUGCUCCAGUAAUGAGGACGAAAGAACAAUUCCUUGUGAUUUCAGUGGUGAUUUCACUACUGAACAAUUGAGCAUACUGUAAUAAUAUUGAGGAUCACUUAAAUUAAGUGAUGCUUAAAUGCAGGGGAAAAAGUUAUCAAAUUAUGUUACUUGCUAUGAAUCACUCAUUAUUCUAUAUUUGCAUUUCUUAUGGCAAAGAAUCUUAACUACCUAAUCUGCAUGUGCAAAUAAUAAUUAUUAUUAAAUAAUGAAAGUAGUGCAAUUGUUAAAUAAUGCAACAAUAUCAAUCAUUACUCCUAUUAAUAAUAAAUUAUAAUAAGUCUCUUAGAACUAAGCAUGGUCCCAAGAUGCAAUAUUCAAAC